rnacentral:rRNA from 1 species
GAUGAACGCUGGCGGCGUGCCUAAUACAUGCAAGUCGAACGGACGGACGAUAAGCUUGCUUCUCUGAUGUUAGCGGCGCACGUGUGAGUAACGCGUGUAUAACCUACCUAUAAUUCGGGUAUAACUUCGGAAAAGCGGAUCUAAUACCGUAGAAUAUUUUGAACCGCAUGGGUCGAAGGUGAAAGACGGUCUUUCUGGCACUUAUAGAGGGAUCCGCGCUGCAUUAGCUAGUUGGGAAGGUAACGGCUUACCAAGGCAACGAUGCAUAGCCGAACUGAGAGGGUGAUCGGCCACACUGGAACUGAGACACGGUCAAGACUCCUACGGGAGGCAGCAGUAGGGAACGUGCCGCAGUGGGCGAAAGCCUGACGGAGCAACGCCGCGUGAGUGAUGACGGUCUUCGGUUCGUAAAACUCUGUUAUUAGGGAAGAACAUCUGUGUAAGUAACUGUGGCCAUAUUGACGGUAACUAAUAAGAAAGCAACGGCUAACUACGUG